AAUACAGCAUAUGGACAAAUAUAGCAUCACAAAAAAUGCAAGUUAAAGGAAUGGGGUAUUAGUGAUGUUUUUGUCUCAUUAAGGAACAAGGUUCUCAUUGAGCAAUAAGGUCAUAUUGAUGACUCCUAAAUCUCUAUCUUCAGACCAGAUCUUGUUCUUGAGCUUCAGAUCUGCAUGUCUGAGUGCCUAAUGGGCACCUCCAAACCUGAUCUUCUUCCAGCAUCCUGCAGCUCCAUCAGAAAACAUCUUUCUCCCUCUUCCACCUUCCUUCUUCUCUCACCCUCACACCACUUCAGGUCCAAUCCAUGACCAAGACCUGCAGAUUCUACCUCCUGCAUAGAGCUUGACUUCCUGUGUUGGUAGUGUACUCACCACUCCUUUUCAAUCCUGGCCAUCAUCCCUCAGUUGAAUUAUUGCAAACACACCCUUCACUGCUCUCCAACCCAUUUUCCACAUGGCAGCCAGAGCCAUGUUUCAAACAAGUCUGAACAUCUUGUUAAUGUGCCUAAAGUACUUCAAUGAUGUCUUAGUCUGUUUUGUGCUCCUAUAACAGAAUAUCUGAGAGUGGGUAAUUUAUAGUGAGCAGAAAUUUAUUGGCUCACAAUUCUAGAGGCUGAGAAGUCCAAGAUCAAGGUGCUGGCAUCUGGUGAGGCCCUUCUUGCUGUGUCAUUUCAUGGUGGAAGGGCCAGAGCACAAGAGAGUGCACCCACUCCCAUUUGUAUAAUGGCAUUAAUCUAUUCAUGACCUAAACACCUCCCUUUAGGCCCUACUUCCCAACACUGUCACAUUGGGGAUUAAGUUUCCAACACGUGAACUUUUGGGUCGCAUUCAACCCAUAGCAAACAAUUUGCCAUGACCCUUAGGAGAAAUUUCAAAUUCUUUGGUAUGCUUGCAAAAUCUCUCUGUCUUUCAAUCUUAUGCACACAUGUGUAUGCACACUCAUGCACACACACACAUAUACACACACACAUAAAAUACCCUCCCCAUCAUCUAGCUCUCCUCUGCCAGGGUCUCCCCUCCCUGCCUGCCUGCCUACCCAGCUGCCUCUGUUGCUGGUAGGGCACCAGCCCCAUGCGUGGCUAUGAGAGUCUGCUUGUUUUUGUGGCCGUUUGAUAGUGUUUGGGGUGGAGUGAUUCUGGAGUGCAGGCUCUGGGGUCUCACCCUCUUGGUUCAAAUCCUGAUUCUACUACUUCCUCAGGCAAGUUACUUAACUUCUGGUAAGCUCCAUGAGCAUCUGUAAAAUGGGGAUCACAGUGACCUCACUUCACAGAAUCGUUACAAGGUGUGUGAUGUGCCCUGUAACACCCAGGACUGAGAAACCCCUAACCCCUUGUGAAUGUUAGCUAGCCUCUCCACUGCUGCUGUGACUCUUACUGUGACUCUCUUGAUCUGGUCUCAACUUAAUAAGGUUCUCUGGAUGGCCUCCCCAUGCCCUCUGCCUCUGUGGCUCCCACAUUUCCCCUCCAUGACACAUGUGCCCCUCUAUUGUAAGCAUUCCUAGACUGUCUGUUAGCAUGUUACCUUCUGUUUUCUACAACAUUCCCAGGGAUUUCUACAGUGUUGGGUACCUGGUAGGGCUCAGUAUAAAAGAAAUAAAUAAGGAAUACAUGAGAUAGAUGCCAAAU
rnacentral:lncRNA from 1 species